AGCAGCCGCGGUAAUUCCAGCUCCAAUAGCGUAUAUUAAAGUUGUUGCAGUUAAAAAGCUCGUAGUUGAAUUUCGGGAUUGACACAUCGGUCGUGCCUUAAGGGGUAUGAACUGGUGUAGUCAAUUUCUCACCUUCUGGAGAACCGCGAUGUCCUUAAUUGGGUGCCGCGAGGAACCAGGACCUUUACUUUGAAAAAAUUAGGGUGUUUAAAGCAGGCAUUUUUGCUUGAAUACAUUAGCAUGGAAUAAUAAAAUAGGACGGCAUGAUUCUAUUUUGCUGGUUUCUAGGAUCACCGUAAUGAUUAAUAGGGAUAGUUGGGGGCAUUAGUAUUCAAUUGUCAGAGGUGAAAUUCUUGGAUUUAUUGAAGACUAACUACUGCGAAAGCAUUUGCCAAGGAUGUUUUCAUUAAUCAAGAACGAAAGUUAGGGGAUCGAAGACGAUCAGAUACCGUCGUAGUCUUAACCAUAAACUAUGCCGACUAGGAAUCAGACGAUGUUAAUUUUUUAAUGACUCGUUUGG
rnacentral:rRNA from 1 species